rnacentral:rRNA from 1 species
GUGAGGAAUAUUGCGCAAUGGAGGCAACUCUGACGCAGCCAUGCCGCGUGCAGGAAGAAGGCGCUACGCGUUGUAAACUGCUUUUAACCGGGAAGAAACCCCAGGACGUGUCCUGGGUUGACGGUACCGGAGGAAUAAGCACCGGCUAACUUCGUGCCAGCAGCCGCGGUAAUACGAAGGGUGCAAGCGUUAUCCGGAUUCAUUGGGUUUAAAGGGUGCGUAGGCGGAGCGUUAAGUCAGUGGUGAAAUCCUGCAGCUUAACUGUAGACUUGCCAUUGAUACUGGCGCUCUUGAGUGCGCUUGAAGUGGGCGGAAUGUGCCGUGUAGCGGUGAAAUGCUUAGAUAUGGCACAGAACACCAAUUGCGAAGGCAGCUCACUAAGGCGAUACUGACGCUGAGGCACGAAAGCGUGGGGAUCGAACAGGAUUAGAUACCCUGGUAUCC